CGUGUGUUGAUUGGAUAUACUUAUAGAUCUCAAAAUGAUUGCCACCAGAGGCUCAGCUCGCACCUCCAGUGGAGGCCUUUCUUCUGUCUCAUCAUUCUUUCUGGUUGUUGUUUUUCCCUCUUUGGUCGCUUGGAGUGGCAUUCGGGAUCUUAGUUCCCCAGGGAUCAAAUCCAUACCUUCUGUGGUGCAAGUGUGGAGUCUUAGCCACUGGACUGCCAGGCAAGUCCCUUCCCCAUCAUUCUUAGGGAUUCUGGAAGACUCUUCAGCAGAAGGAAGCACCCAGAUUCCGAAGGUCUUGUUUCAGGGACACUGAGAACGUUUCCAAGACACAUUCACCGCCCCCCAAAAAAGAGACCCCUACCCAUUCAACAAGUCACUCCUCGUCCCAGCCUGCUCCCAGUCGCUGGCAACCUCCGCUCUGCCUUCUGUC
ensembl:lncRNA